rnacentral:rRNA from 1 species
CAGAGGUCCCAAGCGUUGUUCGGAUUCACUGGGCGUAAAGGGUGCGUAGGUGGUCGGGUAAGUCUGAUGUGAAAUCUCGCAGCUCAACUGCGAAACUGCAUUGGAUACUAUCCGGCUAGAGGAGUGGAGGGGGGACUGGAAUGCUCGGUGUAGCAGUGAAAUGCGUAGAUAUCGAGCGGAACACCAGUGGCGAAGGCGAGUCCCUGGACACUUCCUGACACUGAGGCACGAAAGCUAGGGGAGCAAACAGGAUUAGAUACCCUGGUAGUCCCAGCUGUAAACGGUGCUUAUUUGCUGUAAAAGGAAUCGACCCCUUUUGUGGCGUAGCUAACGCGUUAAAUAAGCCGCCUGGGAAGUACGGUCGCAAGAUUA